rnacentral:lncRNA from 1 species
GAGUUUGCACAGGCAACAAGGAGGAAGGGCAGCUGGCCGAAGAGCAAGAAUGGAAGGAAAAUAAAUCACUGACUGCAGCGUAGCAGCUAAAAUGUGAGGGCAGUUGCCCCCAAACUCCUUUGUUGCAAAGGUGGUGGUGUGUUGGCUCAUUGGUGGCGAGUCAGCUUUGAAGCUGUUUCUGCACCAGGUAAAGUAAUUUUUAGCUCCCCAGUUCCCCGCACAACCUGUCUUGUAUUUUGCCCGGCCAAAAGUGGCAACCCUAAUUGUGCCUUAGCUCCUGUGUAAUGAAACUCUGACCUUUACACAGAAUGCUGGCUCCCUCAUGCUGCCAGAACCAUGUAUCAUGGGAUUUGUAAUAAAACCCUGAGCUAGCAGUCAAAUUCCAGAAGAAUGUGCUAACAGCGUUACCUUCUGGAAUUCAUAAAGCUUCACUAAAACGUGGUGGGGGCAGAAAGUUCUACAGACCUGCGGUGGGGAUUACUUCUUUCCUUGCUAAAACAAAGCCAUUCGAGACUGCUUUAUCGCCCAACACGACACACACAGAAAUUUAGCAAGGGUAUGCUGUUGUUGCUUAAUGAUAAUUUUCUGUUGGGCAAGCUUUCUAUUCGCAGAGAAUUUUGCACACGAGGAAGAUUCGAAAUAUUGUACUUUCCCUAUCUGCAGUUUGAAGUGGUACAGUCCAUUCUGCCUUGCCAGUACUCCACCACAGAGGUUUGGAGUAGAGACAGGAUGAUGGCAACAAUCUGACAGCUUGACAUGUUAUAAGCAGUCAGAAAAAGGAUGGCAGCCAACAAACCUUGUAGGUUGUGCUUAUAUCCCUCCCCCCUCCUCAUGCUGUUUCGGAACAGAAUGCAAAAUAUUGUUGUGUACCACCCCAGUCUCUGAAUGGUGCGAGAUUCUGGGAGUAUACAACCUGAGACUACAAUGGAGGGCUUCAUAACAUUAAGACCCUAAGAGGGCCUUGCUUCUGCCCUAGCCACAACCUUGGAUUCCUGCAGAAAUCAGGCAUGGCUCUGACUCUCUGCCUUCCCAGCCUGCUGUCUUGCUUCUAGCUUUGACUUCACAUACACCUCAACUCUCAACUUUGUCUUUCUAAUUGCCAGCUAGCUAAGGGAAGGGGCUCCACCCAUUUGUCACCUGGCGCAGAGCCAGUUGCUUUGUUACCUUAACAACCCAUGUUUAGGGGGCCAUCACCAAGAAACUUGUCUGGCUAUUCCAGUAACUGGGUCCUUGUUAGAUCCAGGAAUUGUAAGGAACUCGGGCAUCCAGCCUACCCCCGCCCCUGACAACUCAAAUAUAUGCACCAGGGUUUUCCUUGGUGAUUUACUGGACUAGACUAGGAACCUGGAGAUUUCUAGUUCAUCUCUUACCUUGCUUUCAGUAAGAGUCAGUGUGGUGUAGUGGUUAAGAACUGUAGACUCGUAAUCUGGUGAACCGGGUUUGAUUCCCUGCUCCUCCACAUGCAGCUGCUGGGUGACCUUGGGCUAGUCACACUUCUCUGAAGGCUCUCAGCCUAACUCACCUCAAAGAGUGUUUGUUGUGGGGGAGGAAGUGAAAGGAGAUUGUGAGCUUUUUUGAGACUCCUUAGGGUAGUGAUAAAGCGGGAUAUCAAAUCCAAACAACAACUCCUCCUCCUCCUCCUCCUCCUCCUCCUCCUCCUCUUCUUCUUCUAUGAACUUACCAUAAACGUAGCUCUCCCAGUCUCAGCCCUGCCUCCAAUCUGCAGCAUCAUGCCUUUGUGCCUUCUAGUAGCAAACUCAGCAGGUGAGUGCUGCUGGCAGGAUUGUAAUACAAAUGGGUCCACUGGGAAACAAAAGGGAGGCAUCAACAUGCUCAUAAAAUUAUAGAAUUGUAGAGCUGGAAGGGACCAAGGGGUCAUCUAGUCCAAGCCCCUGCAAUGCUCGAUAGCCCCAUGUCUCUCAGGUCCAACACUCUAAGCACUACUACGCCAUUCCCUUUAGAUGUUUAAAUUUUGCUUUUAGUUUAUUUUAAUGGUAUGGUUUCAACUUUUGGGUGUUGGCUACCCUGGGCUCCUUUGAGAGCUGGGCAGGAUGUAAAUUUAAUAAAUAACAUACAGUGGUACCUUGGUUUUUGAACAGCUUAGUUCACGAACAGCUUGGAACCCAAACGCUGCAAAACCGGAAGGUGUUUCGGUUUUUGAACUUUUUUUCAGAAGCCGAACGUGCUCCGUUUUGAGUCCCCCUGUGUUUCCUGUUACACUGCUAAUUUGCUUCCCCCCCAUUGUAAUUCAAGCCUUCUGUUUCCGAUUGCAGUGUUCUGAGGUGAUAUUUGGAGCUUAUAUUUGGUGCUUUUGUUUUUGCUAUUUAUUUUGUGUUUUUUGUUUUGAGACUUUUUCAGUUAAUUUGUUUUUGUGACAGUGUGGAUCCCAGUUCAGCUACUGAUUGAUUGUAUGACUGCGGAAAUGGAUAAAAGCCCCCCAUCCAAACAAUGACUAUCAUCAGUGCAGG